GGCAGUUCUUCGGUGGCACACCCUGGAAUAGGGUUCCCUCUUCUCUGGUUCCGAGUGUGUCACCCAAGAACCAUA
rfam:Myotis lucifugus cont2.5387, whole genome shotgun sequence.